rnacentral:lncRNA from 1 species
UAAGAAACAAUCAAGUAUAGGUGGCACAAGCUCAAUACCAGCAAAGGGGCUGUUAAUGGUUCCUCAGCAUUAGAACCAGAAGACAACAAGCGGAAUGUUUGUGCUUCCUCAGCUUUAGAACGAGAAGCUAAUAAACGUGAUGUUUUAGCUUCCUCAGUUUUUGAACGAAAAGCUGACAAACGGGAUGUUCUUGCUCCGGUUCUAAACUUAGAAACGGGCAUUGGGGAUGCUUCCAGUUCCUCAGCUUUAGGACGAGAAGAUGGCAAACGGGAUCUUCUUACAUUCUCAGGUUUAAUCUGUGAAGAUGGCACAGCGGAUGCUUCUAAUUCCUCAGCUUUUGAACGAGAAGCUGGUAAACGGGAUUUUCUUACAUCCUCGGAUUUAACCUGUGAAGCUGGUUUAGGGGAUGCUUCAAAUUGCUCAGCUUUGGAACAAGAAACUGGUAAAUGAGAUGCUCUUACUUCCUCAGAUUCAAACUGAGAAGCUGGCAUAGGAGAUGCUUCUAACUUCUCAACAUGGACGAGAAGCUAAUAAACGUGAUGUUUUAGCCUCCUCAGUUUUUGAACGAAAAGCUGUCAAACGGGAUGUUCUUGCUCCGGUUCUAAACUUAGAAACGGGCAUUGGGGAUGCUUCCAGUUCCUCAGCUUUAGGACGAGAAGCUGGCAAACGGGAUCUUCUUACAUUAUCAGGUUUAAUCUGUGAAGAUGGCACAGCGGAUGCUUCUAAGUCCUCAGCUUUUGAACGAGAAGCUGUUAAACGGGAUUUUCUUACAUCCUCGGAUUUAACC